CCUACGGGUGGCAGCAGUGGGGAAUAUUGCACAAUGGGCGCAACCCUGAUCCAGCGACGCCGCGUGAGUGAUGGAUGAUUUCGGUAUUUUAAGCUCUAUUAGCAGGGGAGAACAAUGACGCUACCUGACUAAGAAGCACCGACUAAUACGUGCCAGCAGCCGCGGUAAUACGGAUGGAGCCAGCGUUAUCCGGAUGUACUGGGUGUAAAGGGGGCGCAGGCGGGGGGUUAAGCCUGUUGUGAAAGCCCGCGGCCCAACCGCGGGACUGCAUUGGGAACUGGCGCGCUGGAGUGCCGGAGGGGUAGGCGGAAUUCGUAGUGUAGCGGUGAAAUGCGUAGAUAUUAGGAGGAACACCAGUGGCGAAGGCGGCCUACUGGACGGUGACUGACGCUGAGGCUCGAAAGCGUGGGGAGCAAACAGGAUUAGAUACCCGGGUAGUC
rnacentral:rRNA from 1 species